rnacentral:rRNA from 1 species
AGGACGAACGCUGGCGGCGUGCUUAACACAUGCAAGUCGAGCGGAAAGGCCCUUCGGGGUACUCGAGCGGCGAACGGGUGAGUAACACGUGAGUAAUCUGCCCCUAGCUCUGGGAUAGCUCCGGGAAACCGGGAUUAAUACUGGAUACGACCACCUUAGACAUCUUUUGUGGUGGAAAGAAUUUCGGCUAGGGAUGAGCUCGCGGCCUAUCGAGCUUGUUGGUGGGGUAACGGCCUACCAAGGCGACGACGGGUA